UACAUAUCGCCCAAUUUCUCCAAUUUUUAAGAGUUGGGGAAAAUAUGAAGAAGUUUCUCAUUUUUCUCCUCUUCACCCUUGCCCUCGUUUUUUCAAUGCCUAUGAAAAACGAAGCAGCAAAAUUUUGCCUGCUGCCGAAACAACCAAGCUUGGGUUGCAAUGACCCGACAAAAUGCCAUCCUGCGUGUGUACAACUUUACAGGGGACAAUAUCCUCCAUAUAAAAUAACAUCACUUUGUGGGUAUGGAUCAAAUUGUGUCUGCUUUCUAUUAUGCGAUUAAUCAAUUUAAAGGGCAAUUUCCCCAACUUAUGUGAGAGUCCAAAUAAGAAUAAAAAGAUUUAUUUAUAUUGAUGUGUAA